GACGAACGCUGGCGGCGUGCUUAACACAUGCAAGUCGAACGGAAAGGCCCUGCUUUUGUGGGGUGCUCGAGUGGCGAACGGGUGAGUAACACGUGAGUAACCUGCCCUUGACUUUGGGAUAACUUCAGGAAACUGGGGCUAAUACCGGAUAGGAGCUCCUGCUGCAUGGUGGGGGUUGGAAAGUUUCGGCGGUUGGGGAUGGACUCGCGGCUUAUCAGCUUGUUGGUGGGGUAGUGGCUUACCAAGGCUUUGACGGGUAGCCGGCCUGGGAGGGUGACCGGCCACAUUGGGACUGAGAUACGGCCCAGACUCCUACGGGAGGCAGCAGUGGGGAAUAUUGCACAAUGGGCGGAAGCCUGAUGCAGCAACGCCGCGUUCGGGAUGACGGCCUUCGGGUUGUAAACCGCUUUCGCCUGUGACGAAGCGUGAGUGACGGUAAUGGGUAAAGAAGCACCGGCUAACUACGUG
rnacentral:rRNA from 1 species